CACACUGUCUCCUCCCGAGACUCAGCGAAGUUGAAGUGUUUGUGAUGAUGCAAUCUACCCGCGGCUAGACGGAAAGACCCCAUGAACCUUUACUGUAGCUUUGUAUUGGACUUUGAACAGAUCUGUGUAGGAUAGGUGGGAGGCUUUGAAGUGAGGACGCUAGUUCUCAUGGAGCCAACGUUGAAAUACCACCCUGGUGUGUUUGAGGUUCUAACCUAGGUCCAUUAUCUGGAUCGGGGACAGUGCAUGGUAGGCAGUUUGACUGGGGCGGUCUCCUCCCAAAGCGUAACGGAGGAGUUCGAAGGUACGCUAGUUACGGUCGGACAUCGUGACGAUAGUGCAAUGGCAUAAGCGUGCUUAACUGCGAGACUGACAAGUCGAGCAGAUGCGAAAGCAGGACAUAGUGAUCCGGUGGUUCUGUAUGGAAGGGCCAUCGCUCAACGGAUAAAAGGUACUCUGGGGAUAACAGGCUGAUACCGCCCAAGAGUUCAUAUCGACGGCGGUGUUUGGCACCUCGAUGUCGGCUCAUCUCAUCCUGGGGCUGUAGCCGGUCCCAAGGGUAUGGCUGUUCGCCAUUUAAAGAGGUACGUGAGCUGGGUUUAGAACGUCGUGAGACAGUUCGG
rnacentral:rRNA from 1 species